GUCCACUCGCCGGAGUGGCACCAGCCGCCGCCGCCGCGCCGCCUCUCCUCCCCUGUCCUCCGGCGAGCCCUGCUCCCCUCUCCUCUCCCGCUUCCUCCCUCUAGGAAGGGAUCCGUCCUCGGGGGGUGGUGUGAGAGGAUUGGAUGCGGUGCGGUGCGACCACGCGACGGGACCGGAGCACGCUCGGGAACAGGCCCAUGCCCCCCACCAGCGCCAUGGCGCCGCACGAGAGCGAGCAAGAGGGAGACGCCGACGAGGAGGACCAAAUCGACCCCCUUGCGCUCCAGCGAGCGCGCGUGGGGGGCCGCCGUCUUUCCGGUUCUAUUUGUCCUGAAGAAAUCAUGUGUUCUGAUAGGUUAUUGUUGACAUGCUGUGGAGGGCUCGAUCUUGCGUGGAGGUGUAAAGGCGAAGGCACAUGGGAAAGGAGAGAGAACCGUCAUGGACGCACGACUGCACAAGCAAUUGGGAGUUCAGAAGACAGGUGGACGGUGGAAGGUAAGGGUGUAAGUGGGCCAGCCCGCCAACCCGAUUAUAGGCCAAUUAAGCGGGUUGUCCACCGGGUUACCCGUUUAAUUGACCUAUAAGCGGGUUGGCGGGCCGGCCCACUUACACCCCUAGUGGAAGGAAUUGAUGAAAAAAAUAACAUACUCCAUUCACAGAAUCACGGUUUGGAUCAGGACCUAGUUUUGGCAUCAUGAACUGCCCUUGACAUGCAUCAUGCAUGGGACUAGCAGCAAGCAUCAACAUUUAGCAAGCUAGUGCUGCUUCACAUAUAUGCAGUACAUGCAUUUACAUAUCUGGUUCCCCCCGGGAUUUGGGGGCCCAGGGCCAGCCCUGUUUAGAGCACAGUAUGGACGUUUAUGAUAUGUACUCCUCUAGUUUGAUAUAUAAUUAAUGUCAUUUUGAAUAA